GAUCAUGGCUCAGGACGAACGCUGGCGGCGUGCCUAACACAUGCAAGUCGAACGAAGCUUGACGAACGAUUCUUCGGAUGAAUUCUGAUAUGACUGAGUGGCGGACGGGUGAGUAACGCGUGAGCAACCUGCCCUUCAGAGGGGGAUAGCGUCUGGAAACGGACGGUAAUACCGCAUAACAUAUAUUGAUGGCAUCAUUGAUAUAUCAAAGCUAUUGCG
rnacentral:rRNA from 1 species